GAUGAACGCUGGCGGCGUGCCUAAUACAUGCAAGUCGAGCGAACAGACGAGGAGCUUGCUCCUCUGACGUUAGCGGCGGACUGGUGAGUAACACGUGGAUAACCUACCUAUAAGACUGGGAUAACUUCGGGAAACCGGAGCUAAUACCGGAUAAUAUAUUGAACCGCAUGGUUCAAUAGUGAAAGACGGUUUUGCUGUCACUUAUAGAUGGAUCCGCGCCGCAUUAGCUAGUUGGUAAGGUAACGGCUUACCAAGGCAACGAUGCGUAGCCGACCUGAGAGGGUGAUCGGCCACACUGGAACUGAGACACGGUCCAGACUCCUACGGGAGGCAGCAGUAGGGAAUCUUCCGCAAUGGGCGAAAGCCUGACGGAGCAACGCCGCGUGAGUGAUGAAGGUCUUCGGAGCGUAAAACUCUGUUAUUAGGGAAGAACAAAUGUGUAAGUAACUAUGCACGUCUUGACGGUACCUAAUCAGAAAGCCACGGCUAACUACGUG
rnacentral:rRNA from 1 species